GAAAUGCGAUACUUGGUGUGAAUUGCAGAAUCCCGUGAUAAAAUGGUGGAUGAGCCACGCUCGAGACCAAUCACGUGCGAGCCGGUCAGUUCUGGACCCAUCGACGACCCUUUGCGUGCACGCACGCUCCCAACGAGACCUCAGGUCAGGCGGGGCUACCCGCUGAGUUUAA
rnacentral:misc_RNA from 1 species